GAUGAACGCUGGCGGCGUGCUUAACACAUGCAAGUCGAGCGAAGCACUCUGCUUUGAUUCUUUCGGGAUGAAGAGCAUUGUGACUGAGCGGCGGACGGGUGAGUAACGCGUGGGUAACCUGCCUCAUACAGGGGGAUAACAGUUAGAAAUGGCUGCUAAUACCGCAUAAGACCACAGCACCGCAUGGUGCAGGGGGUAAAAACUCCGGUGGUAUGAGAUGGACCCGCGUCUGAUUAGCUAGUUGGUGGGUAACGGCCUACAAGGCGACGAUCAGUAGCCGACCUGAGAGGGUGACCGGCCACAUUGGGACUGAGACACGGCCCAAAAUCCUAACGGGAGGCAGCAGUGGGGAAUAUUGCACAAUGGGGGAAACCCUGAUGCAGCGACGCCGCGUGAGCGAAGAAGUA
rnacentral:rRNA from 1 species